UCGCUGUCCUGAUAUCCAGAAGCUCUUUGUUUAAUCCGAGGUGAGUGAUCGCUGUCCUGAUAUCCAGAAGCUCUUUGUUUAAUCCGAGGUGAGUGAUCGCUGUCCUGAUAUCCAGAAGCUCUUUGUCUAAUCCGAGGUGAGUGAUCGCUGUCCUGAUAUCCAGAAGCUCUUUGUUUGCCGUAAGAUAUUUUUUGCAGAAACAUUACAAAAUAAGUUACAAACAACAACAAAAAACACAAUUGGUUGGAUGCCCGUAAAACUGCUGCCAUUUCUUCCGGUGCCAUCCUCGCCAGCUUCACUCGGGUACGGAGGGACUCCACAUCAAGAAACACAAGAAUAGACACAAGCUCCACUCCAAGAAUACUCCUCAGCUCCUCAAUACCCACUUUCUCUGAGACUCCAGCAAUUACUCCCUUGACAGGUGCUCUUCUCUUCAGCUUAAAGCAUGAUACAGCAUGGUCAUCAAUUCGCCUGAUACCCAACAGACUCCUCCUCUGUUCAGCGGAAACACAAAGAAAUCAAGAUCAACUCACUCCUCGUGACCCUCAUCGACUCCACUUUACCCACAUCUCUCUCCACUAUUUUGGAUACUUCCAACAGAUAUGGCAAUCCAAUUGUCCCAGAAACUGGACUCCAGCCAGACACCAGGUAUUCUCCACACUAGGUAGGAGUCUUCCUUCCCAUCCCAACUUUGCUUAUUUCCCCAUUAUUUUGGACAGAGGUCCAUUCUUCCUUACUUCCACCGCCAUCCGAUUCAUAUUCCACAUCCUUCCUUCCUCCGAGUUCUGGUGACCUCGACUCCUAACCCGUCCGGUCUCCAUAAACCUCUGCCCGGAGUCUUUGACACUCAACCAAAUGAGAACUGCUCGUCGUGGGAACCUCCCUAUGACAUCAUCUUUUGGGAGCUGUAAAUGAGGAGACCAAAACUGGUUGCAAGUGUGGGUGAAUUUAGCGCCCUAUUGAUGGUUUAACAAGACAUCACAUGGCGAUAAUAAGAAUCCUGCCUUAUAACAGGCUGACUACACUGUUCGCAUCGCGUGCGUUGCAAAAUACAAUUAGAAAUCUAUAUUAUUCAAUUAUUGCACCCACACUGCUCGCGUCUGUGUUACCAAGGGCUAAAAUAGAAGUCAGUUCUAUUUCUGAUGCAGAUCGCGCUGCAAGUCCUGCCUCUCCCAUCUCCUCAUUGGUUUAUAGAAGCAGGUACCCACGUGCCAUCUCCUCAUUGGUUAUACGCACGUGGGUGACUGAAAGAUGAACGAGGUCGGUGGCGGUAAUGCACCUAAUUUAUGAAAGUUGCCAAUUGCAAUAUAAAGUCCAGAGAAGAAAAGGCCUGGAAUUUUAUGUGUGUUUUAUGUGUGGAUUAAUUGUCGGAGUAGAGGACCUUGUACAUUUCAGGUAAAAUAACAACUCAAUGUUUAUAUUCCAGGACAAAUUAGCUAGCAACAGCAAGCUAGCUAAAUAGGACAAAUUAGUUAGCAAGUGCAAGCUAGCUAGCUAAAUUGCCACAAAGGUUUAAUGCUUUUCGUCCUGUCCCCAAAUUAAUGUAAUUGGUUCAGAGUUUGUUUUGAUAUUUUGACCUGCGUGUCGUGAUCGCGUUUGGUGUAGGGGCAGAAAAUACAAGAAGACACUUCUGAGAGCAGUCUUGUUUCCCACUAAUGCGAUACAGCUUCUACAUCGGGAUGUUUCUUUCCCACGUGUCCUUCACCGGGGAGGCCGUUACACCUUAACGGUGUUUUAAUCUGAUUUAUUGGCAGACAGAAGUCCCCGCUUGGGAUAACAUUUUCCAGACGAAUAACUUCCCGAAAUGUAAAUAGAAAGUUUAUUUUAUUUACAAAAUGAUGUUAAAAUGUGGGAUGUGAUAGCUAUUCGCUAGAUGGCCGAUCUCAUACCUGCUUAUCAGCAGUUUAGAGAUGAACAACUAAACUAUCUAAUCGUAGAUUCAGCGAUGUGUCAAUUGUGAAAACCCGGACAGUUUUUAAAUGAUGAAUUGGUAACUUGCUACCCAGCUAAAAGACAUGUAGCAAAUCGUUUCCCCCAUUUGUUUUCAGGGACUAAAGUGGGCACCUGAUUGCAUUUCACUUCAUUGCAUUGGUUUGGAAGGAGAAAACAGUCCUGCCCGACUCAUUUGGAGGUUGAAGGAUAUCCCACCCUGUCACUCUGUAGAUGUAAACACCUUGUUGUGAACCACCCGGCCACAAGGUUAAUCACCAUAUCCCAGGGUAUUAUUCAGGAGCGUGUGACAUCACAAUGUUAGAGAGAAAUAGAUGCACCCAUGUUGUUGUUUAUCAUGCAGAUUUGUCAGGACCUAGUAACUUAUGAAGCUCAUUCUAAUAUACAGAUGUGAUUUCUGUCCCAGAGGAUUUGAACUGUGUUCAAGUCUUCAAUUUAGACCACAAUUAGUUGAAUUAGGUGUUAGUGAAGAGCUGGUACAAAAACCUGUGAAACUCCUGUCCCAUCAAAACAAAAUGGCUGUCAUAACUACAUUUGCACUCAUGUACUGAACAAGUUUAUGAGUGUUGGGAGUUCAUUUCCUUGAGAUGUCCCUCAGUUGGGAAAUAUUUUCUACAAUGGACUGUGUUUAAAGGACUCAUGCACACAGGAAAACCAAUAAACAUUUGCAUUUUUUUUAAAUUGAAAAUGCCUAGUGUUGAUGUCUCCACGUGUUUCUGGUUCUGAGGCAGUUAAACCCACUGUUCCUAGGCUGUCAAUGAAAGGCGGGGUCAUCUGGGGUCUGCAGGUCAUCCAAUCAAUGAGAGAGAAGGGCAUCAAUGAUAUUACAAUGUGGCAGGGUAGCCUAGUGGUUAGAGCGUUGGACUAGUAACCGGAAGGUUGCAAGUUCAAAUCCCCGAGCUGACAAGGUACAAAUCUGUUGUUCUGCUCCUGAACAGGCAGUUAACCCACUGUUCCUAGGCUGUCAUUGAAAAUAAGAAUUUGUUCUUAACUGACUUGCCUAGUUAAAUAAAUAAAAUCGAGGAUUAUAUCAUUUAAUAUAUGUUCCUGUUUUGAUAUGCAUUUAUAAUUAUAUUGGACAUGUUAUCCGUUAUCACAUGCCAGUAUGUGUUUCGUAUCCCAGUGCAUGUAGCUCACAUUAGGAUGAAGUAGCCUAGGCCUUCUGAUGCCUAGGCCUUCUGAUGCCUAGGCCUUCUGAUGCCUAGGCCUUCUGAUGCCUAGGCCUUCUGAUGCCUAGGCCUUCUGAUGCCUAGGCCUUCUGAUGCCUAGGCCUUCUGAUGCCUAGGCCUUCUGAUGCCUAGGCCUUCUGAUGCCUAGGCCUUCUGAUGCCUAGGCCUUCUGAUCUAGUCAGAUUGCAUCAUAUCACCUUUCAAUACUAGUAAUCAACUAAUAUAGAAGUUAUCUUGAACAAUCGUUGUCAUUUUAAUAAUAUGCACGGGUUUGGUAUUCGUAAGAAUGAAUCACAAUGCAAGCCUACUCAUUACAAAAAUACUAUAUUAUUUUCACAGUGAAACACCACUAUUCUGGCUAUUAAUCAUUCUUAAUACGGUCAUUAAAAUAGCUAAAUAACAUAUCUAAAAAAAUGUAUAGGCAAUAUGAUAUCAUGCAAGUUUGCCUGUUAAAGUCUACAACUUGUAUUCGGUGCAUAUGAUUAAAUUUGACAAUGUAGCAGCAGUCUAGGCAAUACAGAGGAGGAACUUAUAUCAUACAACCAUUAUUCUGGUUGGUGUCAACUUCAUCAUUUAACAUCAUUUAAGGGACUGAAGAGAUUGACUCUGUUACUUGAUGUUUGUGUCUGAUAUUUGCAUUUUUGGUGUAGUUGUUCACUGAAUUCCUAACAGUAGUUACUCACGCUGGUACAGUGGCUACAAACGUCUCGCGCUCGGUGGAAUCUGUUAUCACAUGAUGCUGCCUUUGAAUCGCAUCCCACGUGUCAGUAACCGACGGGAAAAGUGUUACCUACUAAGGUAGCAGCCGUUGGAGGCAGGGAGACGGCAGUCUUUGGAGGCAGGGAGACGGCAGUCUUUGGAGGUAGACAGGGAGACGGCGGUCUUUGGAGGUAGACAGGGAGACGGCGGUCUUUGGAGGUAGACAGGGAGACGGCAGUCUUUGGAGGUAGACAGGGAGACGGCAGUCUUUGGAGGCAGGGAGACGGCAGCCUUUGGAGGUAGACAGGGAGACGGCAGCCUUUGGAGGUAGACAGGGAGACGGCGGUCUUUGGAGGUAGACAGGGAGACGGCAGCCUUUGGAGGCAGGGAGACGGCAGACUUUGGAGGCAGGGAGACGGCAGUCUUUGGAGGUAGACAGGGAGACGGCAGCCUUUGGAGGCAGGGAGACGGCAGACUUUGGAGGCAGGGAGACGGCAGUCUUUGGAGGUAGACAGGGAGACGGCAGUCUUUGGAGGCAGGGAGACGGCAGACUUUGGAGGUAGACAGGGAGACGGCAGCCUUUGGAGGCAGGAAGACGGCAGCCUUUGGAGGCAGGGAGACGGCAGCCUUUGGAGGCAGGGAGACG
ensembl:lncRNA